UAGAUGCGAGAGUAGAGCAUAUCAAUAAGCGGAGGAAAAGAAACUAACAAGGAUUCCCCUAGUAACGGCGAGUGAAGCGGGAAGAGCUCAAAUUUGAAAUCUUAAAGGGUUUCCCUUGACGAAUUGUAGUUUAUAGAAGUGUUUUCUGUUAGUAGAGUGGCAAAAGUUCUUUGGAAUAGGACAUCAUAGAGGGUGAGAAUCCCGUAUUUGGUCAUUCUUUCUAGCUUUGUGAUACACUUUCAACGAGUCGGAUUGUUUGGGAAUGCAGUCCAAAAUGGGUGGUAAAUUUCAUCUAAAGCUAAAUAUUGGCGAGAGACCGAUAGCGAACAAGUACCGUGAGGGAAAGAUGAAAAGAACUUUGAAAAGAGAGUUAAACAGUACGUGAAAUUGUCAAAAGGGAAGCGUUUGACACCAGUGUUGUUUUUCCGAAAAUCAAUUACGAAUGUUUUGUUUUUGAGGAGUUAUGACUUCAUCGGCUUGCUCCUUUCUUUAUGAAACUUUCUUAAUGCACUUUUCGGUUAACAAGUCAACAUCAAUUUCUUUUGUUGUAAAAGGGUAUGAGGAAGGUGGCUUUCUUUUCGGAGAAAGUGUUUACAGCCUUGUGCCUCUGCAAUCGGAGAGAUUGAGGUCUGCAGCGUAGAUCCUUCGGGGUUAGAUACAUUUGUGCUAAGUUAUAGCUUUUCAUAGACAACUUGUUGACUAUGUUUAGUCUUGUAGCUUACUCGCUUAUGCUAUUUUACCUACGCUUAGGAUGUUGACACACGCGCGUGCUCG
rnacentral:rRNA from 1 species